rnacentral:misc_RNA from 1 species
GUCGUCGCGGCGCGCGAGCUAGGGUUUCUCGACUCGCCCUCGCCGAUCCGGUCAGCCAUGUCGAAGCAAGGAGGGAAGGCCAAGCCCCUCAAGGCGCCCAAGGCCGAGAAGAAGGAGUACGACGAGAGUGAUCUCGCGUAUCUGCAGAAGAAGAAAGAUGAGGAAAAGGCACUGAAGGAGCUUAAGGCCAAGGCAGGACAGAAGGGUGCACUGGGAGGCUCUGGUCUGAAGAAGAGCGGGAAGAAAUGAGGCUGAUACCAAUCUGUAAUGCCUGAAAAAUGAUAAACCAGCUACCUGUCUGUGUUACUUCACUAUGUGCGGAUGUAACAAAACUACCUUUAAGCAUGUUAUGCAUUAAGCAAUGUUGCAGUUGGUUGCUUGAUCCGAAGAUGUUUCGGGCUCUCUUCUGCUAGCUAUGAUACAUCUGG